rnacentral:rRNA from 1 species
GGAAUAUUGGACAAUGGGGGGAACCCUGAUCCAGCCAUGCCGCGUGUGUGAAGAAGGCCUUUUGGUUGUAAAGCACUUUAAGCGAGGAGGAGGCUCCUAUAGAUAAUACCUAUAGAGAGUGGACGUUACUCGCAGAAUAAGCACCGGCUAACUCUGUGCCAGCAGCCGCGGUAAUACAGAGGGUGCAAGCGUUAAUCGGAUUUACUGGGCGUAAAGCGUACGUAGGUGGUCUUUUAAGUCGGAUGUGAAAUCCCUGAGCUUAACUUAGGAAUUGCAUUCGAUACUGGGAGACUAGAGUAUGGGAGAGGAUGGUAGAAUUCCAGGUGUAGCGGUGAAAUGCGUAGAGAUCUGGAGGAAUACCGAUGGCGAAGGCAGCCAUCUGGCCUAAUACUGACACUGAGGCACGAAAGCAUGGGGAGCAAACAGGAUUAGAUACCCUUG